AGUGAACGCUGGCGGUAGGCCUAACACAUGCAAGUCGAACGGCAGCACAGUAAGAGCUUGCUCUUACGGGUGGCGAGUGGCGGACGGGUGAGGAAUACAUCGGAAUCUACUUUUUCGUGGGGGAUAACGUAGGGAAACUUACGCUAAUACCGCAUACGACCUACGGGUGAAAGCAGGGGAUCUUCGGACCUUGCGCGAUUGAAUGAGCCGAUGUCGGAUUAGCUAGUUGGCGGGGUAAAGGCCCACCAAGGCGACGAUCCGUAGCUGGUCUGAGAGGAUGAUCAGCCACACUGGAACUGAGACACGGUCCAGACUCCUACGGGAGGCAGCAGUGGGGAAUAUUGGACAAUGGGCGCAAGCCUGAUCCAGCCAUACUGCGUGGGUGAAGAAGGCCUUCGGGCUGUAAAGCCCUUUUGUUGGGAAAGAAAAGCAGCAGGUUAAUACCCCGCUGUUCUGACGGUACCCAAAGGAUAAGCACCGGCUAACUUCGUG
rnacentral:rRNA from 1 species